GUGGCACAAGUCUCAGCUGAACGUAAGCCUCCGGUUAGGUCCGCUGCCGUGGGCUCGCUAGAUUGACUUGUAAUCAUCAAUAUUGCCGGUGUUAACGUGAUAACCACGUUUAUUAAAUUUAUCCCACGAAGUGUUAAUUUUUAUGUAUUUUGUUGUGCACACACCCCACAUGACCUCUGGUAUGUUAGAAGAUGCAAAUGAAUUUCAUGUCAAAAAAAAAAUUAAAGAGGUGGUUGUCAGACUGCUUUGUCCCCCUUAAAAGGAAAUGGGUGAUUUUUUUUUCAUUUUUUAAAAUUUUUACUUAUUUAAUUUUUUAUUUUUUUUUUUUUUGGCCAUCAAAUGCUACUCGGUUGAAAAGCAGGCUCACAAUAUGUGUAUUAAAUACCAUCCACGUACAGAAAACGGAGGUAAAGAGACGACUUGGUUGAACGUAAUUACAGGCCUGCUCCGGUCUUUAGUCAGUGACAUUUCAGACCUAGCUUAGAAACAGAAAGAGACAGAAAGAGCCUGCCCUUAUGUGAGGCAAAGCAUUCAACCCACAUUCUGUGUCCGUUCGAAAGAGGCACAAAGAGAUGACAGGGUGGAAGUUAGCUAAGUCUAGAGGAGAGCUGGAUUAAAAAAAAUUAUAAUAGGGGAGUUCAAUUGUUCGUAACUGAUGCACGCAAUACAAACUAAGCGUGCUGUUGAGGGCUAGCAGGGAACCUCUUUUUAGAAUUGAUUCCUCCCCCCACCACCACCUGAACUUUCUCUUUACCAAGUUUACUUCUAUUCCGUCUGAAACAAGAAACCCUGCUAACCCAGAGGCUGGGAGAUCACUUCUGUCUUGGUGGAGUUUUAGGGUCCGGUCUGUAGAAGGUUCAGCUCCACAUGUGUGCAGCGUGCUCCAUGCUCUGGGCCUGAGUCACUGCGUGAAACCCGUGUUGGUCCCUUCCUGUCCUUUCGUUCCUUUUUUUUAUCGGCCUGUGCUAUUUUCUUUCCUAAUUCUCCAGGAUCCUCAUGGUUCAGACGUGCAUCUCCUCUCUCCUCAUUCUGUGUUUUCCCCAAGCAGAAGCUAAGGUUAGAGCUCCUGACACCUUCUAAUCAUAACGGUGUCCUGAACUCUGCAGCUUCCAAACCCAUUUGGUAUGGGAUCAGACUUUUGAUGAGAGACAAGUUCAUUGUUUUCGGGUUACCAGUGUCAGGCCCAGUGGAUGCUGUCUAGGAUAGAGGAGUCCUUCGUUUAAAACUCCCAGGAGUGCCCAAAUCUGACAAUUCAUUUCCUGGGUUAUUGCCCUCUGGUCACAUGACUUGCUUUCAUUAUGGAUUUCCUCCCAACUCCGCCUCCUGAGCUGUAAAGGAAAGGAAACACAGAGACUUAGGGGCACAUGAGCAAGCUUGUCGCUGGAGUCUGGUCCUAACUAAGUUUUAUUUGUGAAUGGACUGAAGGGUCCUGACCUGUAAGUCUCAGGUUCUUUUUUUCUUGGAAUGCAAACAGUGUACUUAGCUGUUGACUUCCAUUUUUAGGCGGUAUCUUCAUGGGCUCUGAGCCCGUGCACACACACGCGGUAAACUGUUUGUUCUGGAGGCAAAACCGAGAUGAAGUUUCUGAAGUACUUGACUGACUGGAAUCAGAGGGCCGACUCUGAUAAGGGCUGAUGCAGCCACACAGCUUUUGGCUAAAAGGCCUAGCGUGGGAAACAGGGACUUUCUUUGCUAGGCAUUGGCUAUUUUUAUAGGUAAGAUUAGAGACUCUUGUCAGCCCCAGCUUUGUCCUGGCCCCUGUAGACCCCAGGUAGAUGCCUUAGCCUGCCCAUGUUUCUGACACAGAUGUAUGUGUGUGCUCCUGGUGCGUGCUGGCAUCUCUAGCUUCUCUCUCUCUCUCUCUCUCUCUCCAUCACAGAUGUGCUCACCCGAGUUUCUCUAACUAGUAAAACACAUGGCCUUCCCCUCUGGUGUCCCUAGGCCAUGUCAUUCUCAGAAUCCUGGACCCUGGUUUGGCGGGGUAUGCCUGCCAAGAUCACAGUGGAUGGCCGCUGCUUACUGUUCUGCGUGCAGCAGCCUGAAGCCAGGCUCAGGCUUUAGCAGCCAUUGAAUGUGGCUGACAUGCAUUCCAGCCGUUCUGAGAGCUCCAGGCUCCCUCAAGAGAAGCAAAAGAAGAGGUUCUAGUUUCAAGUUUCCUCAGCAGGUGCCCAUCUGGGGGCUGGAACCGUGAGGCUCAAAGGACUGACUGUCUGGCUUCUCCACCUCACCCUGGGUAGAUCUGAGGAGAGGCUUUAGGGUCACCUGACACCUUCCUGACAUGUGGACUAUCCUCCCGCUCUGCCCUCAGAGCCUUUGGAAGCUGUUGGAAGAUUCUGGAACAGGUGGUGUAGCCUCACCUGUCUUUGGCUUUGGGUACAGAAAGGGGAUCUGCUUGCCCCAGGGGAUUUUUAGCAGCUCCUUGUUUUGAGGAAGUUAGAAUUGGCAGCAGUGGAAAGAAACAAUUGCUCCUGGGCCUUGGGAAGUGAUGCUGUGUGGACCAGCUUUGAUUGCUAGAUGCUGCCGCCCGAGAGGAUGGUCUCUCUUUCAACGCUGGCACGGGGCAGAACUCGGGUUUUGGUGUGCCCUCACAGGGUGCAACCCUUUCUCUGUAUCUCUUAACCUUUCCCUGGAAUGCCUGUCAGGGAGUUAAAACGGUGUGGCUCUUUGUCAGUUACAGGGAUGCCAGAUGAGGGAGGAGCUUGGGGGAAGGCGGCCUGGCUCAGGAUCCAAAAGAAGUGCUGCUUUCUCUUAGGGUGCCCCUGAGCCUUUCACACUGGCUGCAGGAGAGAUGCCCAGCUGUGCGCGUGGGGCUUGUGAGUGGUGUCCCCGGUGGUCAUUUCAGGAAGAGGUAGUAACAGUCCUUUCAGGCUCAGUCAUGAGCAGUUGCCUGUGGCCCUUCAGGCUGUGGCCUGACAUAUUCUUCCUUGUCAUGGACACACAUAGAGGCCUUCCCUGAGUCCAGUCACAAGCAGUGGAUGAUGGGAAAAUGAGACAAACUCUCCCAUCUGCAUCCAACAUUCGGUCACCACCUGUAAGGUCACCAACCCUUGAGCGCCUUGAGUCCAGGGAAAGGGUAUUGUGGGUUUGAACAAGAGGGGGCGUCCUGCUCAGAUGGAGGACGUGGAAGUGAGAGCUGGGAGCCGGGGAGCCCUCAAACUUUUCCCCAGAGUUUCUAGGUUGGGCAGUUGCUGUGAGCCUGGCUAGCCUUCCCCUGACUUGCUUUCUGGCUCUGCCUUGGAGGCCUGGCCUGGCUUCUGGGUUUUCAUUGUUGUUAGAGCACUGGGUCCUCUCUCCUGCUUCGUUUUGUCUCUGCUUUCUUAUUUCUUACAAAUGGAAGAACAAAAAGAACGCACUUGUUGAGCUUCUGCGCCCCAGACCUGGGUCGCUUUGACAGUGAGUGACAGAGAGGCUCUCUUAGGAUCAUUUCUAGUCCUCCGGCCUCAGCUACUCCCCCACCCCCACCCCCCACCCCCCACCCCCAAGCAGAGUGGGAGAGAGGUUAGUGAUGGCAGGCCCAGACCUUGUCUGGGGAGUUACACAGGGCCUGUUUCCAUUAAGGUGGCACCCCACCCCUUUGAAAUAGGAAAUUGCCAACAUGGAUGUCAUUGGCUGCUAAUUAGGUGAAUUUUAACUGCAGGAUCAUUUUACCAGCUAAUACCGUUAUGAUGUGCUUCCUCGUGACCUGUGGUGGAGCCCUUACUGUACGAGCUCAGCCUCAGCAGCAGACAUCUAGGAGUUGGUUGCUCAGCUUCCUCUGAGUGGCUGCUGGCUUUCUCUGUUCCUACUUCGUGUGUUCACACCAGGGCCAGUGAGAGCAGACCCUGAGAUGCCCAGGCCGUGGGCACCAGUGCCCCUCAUCCCUAUGUGGCACGGUCCCCCAAUUCUUGGGCCUCUGGAACAGACCAGAAGCUUCGUAUUAUGAUUUGUGCCUAUCUACAUGGUACCACCACGGGGCAUCAUGCUUUUCAAGUCUAAUCUGCCCUCACCUCCAUCUUCUCUCUCUACCAAACCGGAAAAAGAAUCUUAAUUUCCUGUCGGGCUGGGAGGAGGCGGGUUAGAGUCAGGAUAAUGACUCUUAAAUAUGAGCAAUGCGUCUGGUUCCAUGUUAUUUUUCCUCUACCCUCUUAAUACACAGCAUUUUUUUAUCAUCCUUAAGACAAAGUAGCUGGCAAAAUAUUUAAGUGAUCAGAAACAAAUGUUUUUAUUUGCCUGCGUGCGAAUUGGGUUAUCUGCCUAUCUUGUUUACGAAAUCCGGGGCUGCCUUCCCGCACAGUAUGCUCGCCUCUCGAAUCUUCCCCGGCUCCCAUUUCCAUAUUUCUGCGUGCUUGUUCUUUGUUAAUCACUUGGCAAGCGCUUAUUUGAAUAUUAAAAAUUUCUUUAAUCAUCAAACGCAGGAGCACAGUCUCAUGAAUAUUCAUAUUCUCCCCCCCUCCUCAGACUGGAUUCUAGUUCAUUACCCCGCAGUAAAAGCCAAACAGCCAUCAAUCGCUCUCAUUACUGGCUCUGGCGUUUUGAUUGGCUGCCUGCUGCCCAUAGACCUUUUUUUUUUUUUUUUUUUUUUUUUAAAUUUCCCUUCUCCUAUGAGCUGUCUUAUACCUGCCAACAACUUUAAAAAAAAAAUCAACAAUGCAAGAAUAAAUUUCUCUGGUUGAAAACAACUUAGCAAACUUGUCAAACAGCCCUUGUAGCUUGCUGGGCCCUCUCGGGACACCAGAACCACAAACCUCCCUCCUCAGUCCACCCUAGUCCCACC
rnacentral:lncRNA from 1 species